rnacentral:rRNA from 1 species
UGGGGAAUAUUGGACAAUGGGCGAAAGCCUGAUCCAGCCACGCCGCGUGUGUGAAGAAGGUCUUCGGAUUGUAAAGCACUUUAAGUUGGGAGGAAGGGCAGUAAGCGAAUACCUUGCUGUUUUGACGUUACCGACAGAAUAAGCACCGGCUAACUCUGUGCCAGCAGCCGCGGUAAUACAGAGGGUGCAAGCGUUAAUCGGAAUUACUGGGCGUAAAGCGCGCGUAGGUGGUUCGUUAAGUUGAAUGUGAAAGCCCCGGGCUCAACCUGGGAACUGCAUCCAAAACUGGCGAGCUAGAGUAGGGCAGAGGGGGGUGGAAUUUCCUGUGUAGCGGUGAAGUGCGUAGAUAUAGGAAGGAACACCAGUGGCGAAGGCGACCACCUGGGCUCAUACUGACACUGAGGUGCGAAAGCGUGGGGAGCAAACAGG